UACUGCCCGUUGGUAUCUAAUGCUCAGAAUUUAUAUUGUUUCUGAGUGUUUCGUUUUGAGGGCAGAAAUAAAUCACAAAACAGGUCUUGCGACACAGUUAGCUUGAUUUUCUAUGAGCUUUCUGUUACUAUAACCCUGCUUACACCU